rnacentral:pre_miRNA from 1 species
GCCGAGAAGAGGACAUGAGAAACUCUCUAAGAGCAUUGGGAAUAGGAUCAUAGAGGAAAGUCUAGAGCUCGAGUUUUCCUUCAGUGUCAGAGGUACAAAUUUGCUUUAUGUUUUCCCGAUGCCUCGUAUUCCUAUCGAUCUUAGGCACUCCUUCCUCUUCCUUUUGGUU